GACGAACCGUCCAAACGUUAUUCGGAAUCACUGGGCUUACAGAGUUCGUAGGCGGUCCCAAAAGUUAGGUGUGAAAUCCCUCGGCUCAACCGAGGAACUGCGCUAAAACUGUGGACUCGAGGGAGAUAGAGGAAAGCGGAACUGAUGGUGGAGCGGUGAAAUGCGUUGAUAUCAUCAGGAACACCGGUGGCGAAGGCGGCUGUCUGGUCCGGUUCGUGGACGCUGAGGCGCGAAAGCGUGGGGAGCAAACAGG
rnacentral:rRNA from 1 species